rnacentral:lncRNA from 1 species
GAGAGACGUACACACACAGACACACACACACACGCAUCCCACAGCCAGGGAAGAGGCAGAGAGCAGGCAAGGCAGAGAGGGAGCGAGGGUAGAGAGAGAGAGAUCCCCAAAGCAGCCCUGCGCCUCUGAGCUGGAAUCUGCCAGGGUGCAGCCAACAUGUUGGUCCUCAGCUCACUUGUCUGGGGAUCUUACCUGCAGCUUUUCUUCUGCUUUGCUUUAUCUCAGACUGCGUACGUUGACAAUAUCUUCUCAGUUUCAGCAGAUCUCCCUUGUUUGGAACAGAAGAAACAGUUCAACCGCAGAGCAUGCUGCCUCCUUGGCCCUCCUCCACCACCCCUGUUUCCACCACCAUACUUCAGGCAUGGCUGGAGCACUAAGCUGCUUGCCCUGGAUAUGAAAGAGUUGUGUCAGGAGCUCCAGAUAAUACAGGCUUCCUCUCUACCUGAAUUGCAUUGCCCUGCAGGGCCUCCUGGCCCCCAGGUGAGUGAUGCAUUUGUAAUUAAACCACAUCGUCCUCUCACUUGCUCCAAGGUCCUUACAAAGCUG